rnacentral:misc_RNA from 1 species
UAAUGUAUAUAUAGGGGGGUAUAGAGAGCUGGAAAGCCAGAGGCCUGGGACGCGAGAUGCAAGUCGGAUAACGAAAAUAGGCCCUUGUCAUGUGUGUGUCGGGCACUGACGGCAUCACAUGGUGGCCUCCCGAGUGGGGACUUCGAUCGUGGUGGUUUUUUGCUCGAAACUAAUUUUUUUUUUGCCACGAUCGGAGGAACUGCGACAUGUUGCCUUCUUCAGUGGGUGCCGAUGAUGUGCUGGUGUUGGCCUAGCACAAGCACGGAGGCACGGGCAUCUUGAUCUCGUCUGGAGCAUUAUGCAAGUUGGGCGUUGCUUGUGAAAUGUAGUUUCAUUAUGGCAUGGGCCAAGCAAUGCAUGACAUGCGUUCUACGUCGGACGUGGUUAAGCGGCCGUUUCAAGGCAUGUCCCUUCUCGAUGAAUCGUGCCCGGGAUGUGGUGUUGUCGGCCUCGCAACACCAUUGAGGCACAUGCUAGUUGAUCCGUGGCCUAGGUAUGAUGACACGUUGCCUUCUGCUAGCAACAGGUCGUGCCUAGGAUGUGGUGAUGCUAGCGACUUGAGGCGUGUCCCUUGUUGUUGAUUUGUUACUUGUACGCGCAUCGGGCGGUGCAUUCUUGGGGCUGUUUUGGGCUUUGGUUGCUUGCUUGGCCUUAAUUGGUCGGGUGGGUGGCCAUCGUCUGGAUGGUUUUAGGGAAUGUUGAUCGUAAAGGUGCAUGAGUGGUGUUUGGCUUGUUACGGGUGGUUGGAUGUCUGCUUGCGCAGGAACGUCCACGCGUGCAUGCCUCUUCAGUUGUGUUGCAAGGCCUCGAUGGCCUUGUGCAUUAUGUGGGUUUUCUGUGCUGCAUACCUAAUCGAUGGCAUCGUAUGGAUCGAAGAAGCCCCUUUUCGUCGUGCGUCGSUCGUUCGACGCGCGACGGACCCUCAGGCGGCCUUUGUCGUCCAUCUCGUGGAUGCAUGCGCAUCGACGACCUGGCCGACGGAGAAACGCUUGGUGUCUCGGAUACGGAACAUGAUGUGGGCAAGGGGUCUGUCACGACCUGCAUCUGCCCUCGUUUAGCGUUCUCGCUUCUCUGAAACGACAGCCCGUGGUGUCUCGGCUCGUUCGUGCUCCAUGGGCU